GGAAGAUGGCGGACGAGGAGAAGCUGCCGCCCGGCUGGGAGAAGCGCAUGAGCCGCAGCUCAGGCCGAGUAUACUACUUCAACCACAUCACUAACGCCAGCCGGUGGGAGCGGCCCAGCGGCAACAGCAGCAGUGGUGGCAAAAACGGGCAGGGGGAGCCCGCCAGGGUCCGCUGCUCGCACCUGCUGGUGAAGCACAGCCAGUCAAGGCGGCCCUCGUCCUGGCGGCAGGAGAAAAUCACCCGGACCAAGGAGGAGGCCCUGGAGCUGAUCAACGGCUACAUCCAGAAGAUCAAGUCGGGAGAGGAGGACUUUGAGUCUCUGGCCUCACAGUUCAGCGACUGCAGCUCGGCCAAGGCCAGGGGAGACCUGGGUGCCUUCAGCAGAGGUCAGACGGAGAAGCCAUUUGAAGACGCCUGGUUUGCGCUGCGGACGGGGGAGAUGAGCGGGCCUGUGUUCACGGAUUCCGGCAUCCACAUCAUCCUCCGCACUGAGUGAGGGUGGGGAGCCCAGGCCUGGCCUCGGGGCGGGGCAGGGCAGCUGGGCCUGCUAGCUCCCCUCUUGCCCGCCAGCCAGUAGCCGAACCCCCCACUCCCUGCCACCGUCACACGGUCCUGGAGGCAGACUUGAGGACCGAGUUAUUUCUAGUUAGGGCACGCUCCUCUGUUCAGUCGCAAAAGCAAACACUUGUGCGGCCCAGCCAUGGGCCCUCUGAGCAACUGUGCAGCACCCUUUCACCCCCAAUUAAACCCGGAACCACUAAAAAAAAAAAA